rnacentral:lncRNA from 1 species
AUGGGCCUGGUUAAAGAUUUUCUGGUGUCCCCCCCGCCCCCGGGCCCCGGCCCCCUCGGCCCCCAGAGGACCUUCGGCUGCGGUGGAGGGGCUGAGGGGCCGGCGAGCACCCCCCCCGCCCGGGCACCCCGCUACCAGGGGGCCAGAGGAUGGGCUUCUGGGGGGAGCCCCUGGACCUUCGCCCCUCCCACACACCCCUCCUACACACCCCACCUACACACCCCUCCUACAUACACCAGCUACACACCCCUCCUUCACAGCCCACCUAGACACUCCUCCUACACAGCCUGCCUACACACCGCUCCUACACACCCUGCCUACACACCCUGCCUACACACCCCUCCUACACCCCCUGCCUACACAGCCCACCUACAUACACCAGCUAAACACCCUGCCUACACACCGCUCCUAGACACCCUGCCUACACACCCCUCCUACACCCCCUGCCUACACAGCCCACCUACAUACACCAGCUACACACCCCUCCUACAUAGCCAGCCCACCUACCCACCCCUCCUCCACAACUCACCUACCCAGUCCACCUACACACCUCUCCUACACAGCCCACCUAGACACCCCUCCUUCACACCCCUCCUAGACACCCUACCUACACACCUCACCUACCCACCCCUGCUACACUCCCCAUCUAUACACCCCUCCUACACAGCCCACCUACACACCCCUUCCACAAGGCCCACCUAUACACCCCUCUUACACACCCUGCCUACACACCCCACCUAUACCCAACCCACCUACACACCCUGCCUAUACACCCCAGCUACACAUCUCUCCUACACAGCCCAGCUACACCCCCCUCCUCCACAACCCACCACCUUCACUGCAAACGGAGCGUUCACGGGGUUGGAAGCAAGGCCUCGGCGCGGAAGGGGCAGGGCGUCCCCGGGAAGCCCCGCCCCCAGCCCCUUCCUUUUCCACUCCUCCUCCUCCACCAACAGUAAUCAUCAUAAUGGCUAUUAUUAUGGUAUUUGUCAAGCGCUUACUAUAUGCCAUACACUGUUCUAA